rnacentral:rRNA from 1 species
UACGGGGGGGGCAAGCGUUGUUCGGAAUUACUGGGCGUAAAGGGCUCGUAGGCGGCCAACUAAGUCGGAUGUGAAAUCCCCAAGCUUAACUUGGGAACUGCAUCCGAUACUGGAUGGCUUGAAUCCGGGAGAGGGAUGCAGAAUUCCAGGUGUAGCGGUGAAAUGCGUAGAUAUCUGGAGGAAUACCGGUGGCGAAGGCGGCAUCCUGGACCGGCAUUGACGCUGAAGCGCGAAAGCUAGGGGAGCAAACGGG